rnacentral:rRNA from 1 species
UACGUAGGUGGCAAGCGUUGUCCGGAUUUACUGGGCGUAAAGCGCGCGCAGGCGGAUUGGUCAGUCCGGGGUGAAAUCUCACGGCUCAACUGUGAGCGGUCCCCGGAUACUGCCAGUCUCGAGGUGUCUAGAGGAGAGCGGAAUUCCCGGUGUAGUGGUGGAAUGCGUAGAUAUCAGGAGGAACACCGGUGGCGAAAGCGGCUCACUGGACCGUUACUGACGCUGAGGUGCGAAAGCUAGGGGAGCAAACGGG